AAGGAGUUAGUCCAAUUAAGAUCUCUGAUUUCGGCUCAGAAAAUUAUGGUUAAAGUCCAUAACCCCUUU
rnacentral:tRNA from 1 species